AUCAUGAGAAUCUUUGUGGUGCUGUUUAACGUCUAACUCGUUGAGUAUUUUGAUUUUAAAAUCUCAGUCGUUUAACAGAACAUGCACCAAUUAAUUGGUUUGAUCAUAAAUGCUAUAGUGAGCUACUACAGUGUUCCACUUACUGACUCCUUUCUAUAUACCUGUCUUUAUUUUAAAAACAAAAUAGGUAUCUAAAUUGAACUACAUUGUAAAGGCAUUCAUCUUUCUAUCUGCAUAUCCCAUUACACAGGCAUUUAGUUAAAACAAUCUAUCAAAAUAAGAUAUGGACAAAAAUAGUACAUGAAUUUGUUACAGAAUGCUUAAAUCUUUGACAAAGUUCUACAAAUACUCCCAAAAGUUAUUUUCAUAUUUCAGUGGUGAUCCCGUAUUCAUAUAGAAAAUCACCACAAGGGUAUUCUUGGGUACCUAUCCACGUUACACAAUUAUACUACAAUUAGCUCACUAGAUUUUGCUGUCAUAUAUUUAGUAUAGUUAACAUAUGGAUGGAUGGAUAGCACUUUCAAUAAAAAUAAUUCAAACUUACAUUUCUCUUGUGGUACUAACACUUUAGUUAGGGAAGGAAUAAAUUGACUGUUGAUGACCUGUUGUUAUAAUUUUUCACAAACUCCUUGAGAUUUUCAUUAAAUGGAGUUUGAUAAACUAAUGUGAGCCACGCAGGUUAGUCUACAUAUGAACUCAGUUUAUGUAUUUCAGUGUUUUACUAACUUAUGAUCAAAUGAGGUGUGAGGGUUUGCACAGAAUGAAAGCUUCUCGUCGUUUUUUUAUUUAUUUUUGGGGAAGAGGUGGCAGGUGCAAACACCUUUCAAAAUCACAAUAGCUUACUUCGGCUCAUUCCUAAGACAUGAGUGAAAUGAGAGAACCAAGUUAUGUUAUACGUCUGUUGCUUUAAGUUGAAUUUUUAGCACCCUUAUGCCAAUUCCUCUCUUCCCCAUGUGGUGGUGUAUAUAAUACAUUAGACUUCAUUAUAAUGGUCUGAUCCUGAAAAUGCUACUGGAUACUGCAGUGUUUUGUGGGUCGUUCCUAUGCCCUGUAAUGUUUUUAGGAUUAUGCAGUUAUUCAUAUGUGUAAGAGUUUGCUGGAUCUAGAGUCUGCCCACUUGGAGCAACUUGCCAAUUGUAGGCCUCAGUUUGUAUCUUUGAAGUUUAAUGGAUAUUUUGAGGUAGUAAAAGUAAUAGUUUUUAGAGUCUGAUACUAAAAAUAUGAUAACGAAACAAAAUGUCAGCUAACUUGCACACCAAUUUGAGACUAGACUUAAAAUGAACUCUGUUCUGUUGCCUGUGCUGGCAGGUCACUGCGGAAGGAUCCCAGAUAGAGGUGAUCUGCUGCUCCCCAGAUCCUGGAAAGAGUCAUGGAGACGUAGUGAUCCUGUUGUUCUUCACUAGCCUUGUCCUUAAUUGCUUUCCUGGCUCUGUGGAACACACUGAAAGAGGAGGGAGAAAUACCUGCCUUGUUACCCCUUCCUCCUUCUCAGUGUUCCAUGCAUGAAUGCUGAGUUGGAACACCCUCCCAAUCACCUUCCUCCCUCUCUCCUGAAAAGAAAAUGGUGGAGGCUGAGACAGGUCCUCUUAACCUUUCCACUGUUUCUCUUAUUGUGGCCAAACCAGGGGGCCAGGAGGUGAUUCUUCCUUCCACUUCUUUGCUCUUUCCUCUAUUGGGAACCACAAAAUCCCAACAGUUGCUAUUUUAUAGCACAUGGCAGUUACAUAACACCUCCAAUAAAUUUAAUAAACUUGUUUUAAUAUUUAGAAAUUAAUAAAUUAAACAGACUUUACAAAAUAAAAAUGGAUAUAAAUUUAGAACCAAAACUAGGUGUUGAGUGCUCCUUUAAGAUAUCCAUCCUAAAACUAGGAUGCAGAAAAUGAAGCCAACAGAAAAAAGGCAAAAAACUUUUAAAAACCCCAAACUGCUUAGUUGUAAUUUCAGUACUUUACUUGACCAACUUGGUAAACAAGUACUCCACUUUUCCAUUCAAGCUGAAAACAAAGCAAUGAUUGCACCAAAAUAUGAACUCUGUUAAUAGGAAUACUGUUACAAUUGUUUACUCGUAUUACCUUUAAAGUAUGUAAAUUAUAAGUUAAAUCUCCUUUUAAAACCCAGCUGUACUGUGUGUAACUUUUUGCAUGCCUUUCCUUCAAAGUCUCUCUUCCCGUUCUCUUGUUCUCCAGAAGUAUCAGUCAUGUUACUCAGUGUUCUGUUAACCACUCCACUCUUUAACAACUGACAUUUUCAGAAAUUCAGAGAUUUUCACUGGGUAGUUAAGACAGGGCUUGAAAAAUCUAGUUGCCAGUUAUAUAUUGGAAAUUUUCUGGGCCAAGUGGGAUCCUAACCUAUCAGCUUUGGCAAAAUGUAACCUUUUUAUUAAUAAAAAUUAAAUUUCUAGCCCUUAUGUUUUCUUAUGCAGCUGAUGCAGUGCAGUCUUUCCAAGUUUGCCGACAGGCAACACCAGUGCUAUGACUGCUGUUUAUAGCUUUUCCAAACAGUGGAAUGAAAGUAAUAGAGCUGUGGUCAGUUUCACUAGUUUCAUUGCUGGUCACAGUGUUCUAAAUAGCAGCAAUUAAACUAACAAGAAUACUGUCAUUUUUACUCUGCUGCAUUUUGUGAAAGCCAUAAACCAGAGCUGCCAAAUUCAUUCUAUAUAGGAGGCUGAAUUCCAUAAUUAUGAUUAGUGAAUCAGAAUAUAAAUUUAGGACUACGUAUUAUCCAAAAUCCACAGCCAAACUCCCACAGAUGGCUGUGGGAGAUUUUUACAAAGAACCACCAUGGAAUAUGGCCCUGUGUAGUAAAUAAACUUCUGUUUGUUUUUUUUAUUGUCAUAUUGAGUAAAAAGGAUUUUAUACUCUCCUUUAGGAUUACCACUGUUCUUGUUCUUUUUUUCCCUGUCUUCUUCGUCCUUCUUUCCUUUUCUGUUCCCUGUCGUCCCUCAUUUUUCUUCUGUCUUUCAAAAUCUCACCCCAUUUCUCUUCCUAUCAGCUCAGCUGAUCAGCAGUGGACUAGUUAAUGCUGACUUUUAAAGUGCCAUGAUUAUUGUGCAUUGGCAUUAACUGCUGUGUGUAACAAAUGGCAGCAGGGGAGUUCACAUCUCAGUCAUUAUUUUGUGGUGUCUGCAGACUCUCAAAGGCAGCACUGCAUUAGUUACACUCAGGUCACAUUUGGAAAGCCACCCCUCCACCCCAUCUCAAAACUUUUUUCUUAAGUGAUACACAGUUUUUUGUUUUUGUUUUAAAUAAAUUGUCAUGACUUGUAAGCCUGCUAUAAAAAGAGGUGGCAUUUUCAAGGGAGCACUGGCAAAGGUAGUGGACACUCCACCACAUCACCUUGAGAGAAAUGGGAAAGAAAGCUCCUUCUUCCUACCAGAAAAGAGGUACUCUAGGACAAUGGUUCUCAACCAGUGGCCUGGAGCCCCCUGUGGAGCUGCAAGCAGGUUUUGGGGGGGCCGUCAAGCAGGGCCAGCAUUAGACUUGUUGGGGCCUAGGGCAGAAAGCCAAAGCCCCACCACAUGGGUCUGAAGCCUGUGGCCCUGAGACCUGUCAGGGCCCUGGAAUUGUAGCUGAAGCCUGAGCAAUGAAGCUUUGUGGGAGCUUCUGUGGCAUGGGGCCCCAGGCAGUUGCCCUGCUUGCUACCCCUAAUGCUGGUCCUGGCUUUUAUAUGCAGAAAACCAGUUAUUGUGGCACAGGUGGGUUGUGAAGUUUUUAUAGCAUGAUGAGGGGGGCCUCAGAAAGAAAAAAGUUAAGAACCCCUGCUCUAGGAGAGGUGUUCAGCAUCUAGUAGUCAAAGACCUAUAGGAAUGGUGGAGCCUAUAAGUAUGCUUUGAGAGCAUCCUCAUAGGAAUCCCUGCACCUUCCUCCUUCCCAGUAGAAAGGAGUGACCGAGCUUCUCUCCAGGACUCUGCCAUUGGCCCUGCUCGGUGGAGGAUUCCCUUCAUUUUCUGUAUCAGUCUCUGGCUAGUAGGUGUCUGUCAUGUUUUUUAAACCUGUUUUAAUAUAUGACUUAAUUAGAGUUUAUCAUUGCUUUUAUGGCCAGAUAAGGCAGAAACUGCUAUUUCUAACAAAUUAACUAAACCAUAUUUCAGUUUAUCGCCAUGUCAUAACCAUGAGUGUUUAUCUAUACAACAGCACUACUGAUACCAGGGAAACUGUCUGUACUCAUACAUAAGAGCACUACUGUUCUACUGGGAGAGAAAUGCUAGGAUUAAGUGAAAAGGAAAAAUGAGUGUUUUGAAAAAGAUUCUUAAGAGAAACCUUUUAUCCUCCUGUUACUUAUGAAUAAUUAGUCUUUAGGAAGCUCAGAGCCAGAUGGCAUUUGACCUUCAUUAAUUAAUGAUUACAGGAAUAGGUGACCACCUGUACCAGUGUGAUCCCUGCAACCAUAGAAGUAUAACAACUUUCUUCACCCCCACUUACUCGUGUUUCAGAUAAGCCCCUUCAUCUGGUCUCUGCAUUGUGAGCAAUGUUCCCUCUAAUUCUUGACAGGCUGUGUGCGCAAAAAAUUUCUUCUGUGCAAAUUUUUGUGCAUGCCGUGUUUUGCCGUAUGCGCGUGGUUUAGGAUCUGUGUGCAAGUGCACACGACUUAGAGGGAACAGUGAUCGUGAGACACUGUAGUUGUGAAAGCACCUUUUGGUUUCAGUAAAGCACUGUUUUUUCAAUUAUAAAAGUGCCAACAAAAUCAAAUCUGCAGAACAUGAACUGAUAUGCACUUUGCCGCAGAGUUUUUCUUCAGACUUAACUUUUCUGGAUGCAGCUACCAUUAUUAAGAUAGCAGUGAUGCUCUUACAGAGACGUUUGAUAGAAAAACUUUAAAAAACCCUGAAGUUAAGCAUAUGUUUGCUAAAAUUAUCUGCUUUGUCGCCCGUCCGUCCGUGUCUCUCUCCCGCCCUCCCCCCCCGCUGUUACUAGCAUUUUUCUUGUUUCAUGAAAGUAUUCAGGAGACACAGCUUUUCUGAUAUUGCUUGUAUUCCAUGUUCAGCACUUGGGGUCUUGGUAAAUUUAACUAGGCAGCAAGCGGAUUAUGACACAUUCUUUCUGAACCACCCUGGAUACCUCUUUAUUAGCAGAGAAGAAGUUGAUUGCUGCCGAACAAUUAUGUCAUCCUGAUACUCUUUUGACUCUUGUACCAGGAUCAGCCACUACUAUGGGUUCUCAAGAGAAAUUAUUUGGUGGCCUCAGAGUGUGGCCACCAACUCUUGGUAGUGGCUGCUUUCACACUUUUUCCUAAAAUAUUUAAUUAGCUUUACGAAAAAAACAUAAAUAUGCACUUAUAUAUGUCCCAAUCAUUGUAAUUUAUUUAUUGCUAAUUAGUAAGUCUGUUGUGAAAAGUGAUAUUACCAAAUAUACAAAUAUCAUUUUUCACAGCAGAAUUACUUAGCCCUGGCAAGCCUGGGGACAAAUUAAGCCCUGGAUGGGGGACCGGGGGUGGCAGUUGGGGCCAGGGGCGAUGUGGGUGGGUGGGUCGUGGAGACAGUAGGGGGCUGGAGACUGAAACCCUGUGGCGGGACAGAGCCUGGGGCCUGGUGCCCACCGCCAUGCAGCCGGAGCCCGGGGCUGGAGCCUGAAGCCCUGCAGCCAGCGCCUGCCAUCCCUCUGCCCCAGAGCUGAAGUCCAAAGCCUAAGGCCCAACGCCCCUGGGAAGGUGGGGAACCCACUGACUGCUGGCUCCUCCAGAGUUGUAUUCCAGGUGUCUCCAGAGGCGGGCAGGGUCCAACCCUGCUGGUCGCCCCAGCAAUCAACACUAAGGCAGUGCAUCCAGGAGCGAUGGGGGGGGGGGGGGGCUGCUGCUUUGCUCCCCCUCUCCCCCCCAAUCACAACUCAGAAGGCUGUGGCCGCAAGAAAAGCACCUGGUGGCUGCAUUUGAGAAAUGCUUCUAGAACUAAGCCCCUUUCCCUGGCUCCAGUUAGAGGAAAAAACAGUAGUAGCCCAGAAAAUGAUUAAAAAAAUGAAGAUUUCCACGAGUGAAAAUAUUGUUACUUUGUAGUUUAGGGGGGGAGCUAAAUAAUAGAGGACAUGAUAGAAGUAUACAGAACAAUGAGCGGAAUGGAGACAGUACAUUGUCCAUGUUUCCUUACUCUUUCUCAUAGAAUUAUGAAAAAGGGGAUAUUCAAUGAAAUUGAAAGACAACUAACUUAAAACUGUUUUAUGUAACCUGUGAAACUCAUUGCUACAAGAUAAUGAGCUCAAUAGACCUACUAGGGUUAAAAUAAGAAUUAGACUUUUAUAUAGAUAAUGAGAACCUGUGAGUUACAUAAAAUAUAAUUCAAAAAAUUACGAAUAUAGUGCCCUCCUGUUUCACGGGAUAGGCCAGCCUCUUAUGGGGUGAGGAAGAAAAUCUUUCCUAUGGCCAAGUUAUUCCACAGUUGUACAGGAUAUCUUGCAUUUCUGCUAUCAGAAAUCUCUUAUAGUGAUUCCUGCAUGUCACUGUUUGGCCCUGAAGUUAGAACUUUUUGUUUAAAAGCUGAUCAUUCAAAAUGCUCUAAAAUCCACAUGCAUAUUCAGAUUCUUUUCCAAACUCACUCCACAUAAGAUCUGGGGUACAGACAUAGGAGUAAGUGUGGGAUCAUUUGGUCAAGAAUUUCUUCAUAAAUAAUACCCCACAUCCACAGUAAGUAGUUGAUUUUAAUAUUCAGAGUGCUCUAAAACCCUUCUGCAUAUGGAGUGUCUUGAAAAAUAGCAUGCAGCAAAAAUGGUGGUUUGACCUUGUGAUAUAAAUUAGGAAUAACUUGGUCAAGGGAUUCCUGAGAUACUUCAUCCUUCCCUCCUUCUCCUCACCCUCAUAUGAACUGUCUUUAAUUUUCAAAGUGCUUUAAAAUUAAUUUAUAUAGAUAAAUUACCUUGAAUUGGUAUACUGAAGCAGAGACUGGGAUAGAGAUUGUGGUUUAAAUUUUGCUGUCAUUUGUUCAAGGAGUUUCUGAGACAGAGGUUCCCCCCAGAUUGAGCUGCUUUUAAAAUCUUCAGAUUCUAUAACUUUCUUACUGCAGAGCUGAAACCUAAGGUGGCUGAUCAUCAUGUAGUGAAUAGCUGGAUUAUGCCAAGUUUAGAUACGCAGUGGUAACUAGAACCAGUUUACACAUAUUUCAAAAGUUACUGUACUACAAAUACUUUGCUAUAUCAGUGUGCAUGUCUGCAAGCAAUCUAUGAGCCAUUGCUUCCUCUGGAAUAUUUUUGAGUGAUGCUCGCUGAGCAACAUAUUCACAUAGUGGCUCAGGGGAACAGGCAUUGACUCUUGAACUGAAUCCUCUCCUUGGGAAUUAUGCAUGCUGUGCACAUUAGUGCUCUCACAUUGACUUUUUGCUUGGUGUAGGGCCACAUAGGGCCUCCUUUUGGAAGUGUGAGUGGUGUGUGCAAAAUUGAAAAAGUUAAGUACCCCCUACGAUCUACCUGUCUGCCUAAGUGGCACUCUAGGACAGUUUGGGCGGUACUAUCUGGGAUGUGAAACUUCAUAUGGUUGUGUGGGAUGAGCUGUCAUGGAAGGGACUAACUGCCACAGAGAGGCUAGUGCAAGAGUCCUAGGCAAGACAAAUCAGUUAUAUGCCAGGAGAGGUUCACUGAAUUCCUGCCAUGUCACACUAGGCAUGAUGGGGCAGGUCAGUACUGGGAGCUGGGAAUGGGUAUGAUUGAAAAUCAUAGGCACGCAAUACUGAAGCCUGGUCUGCACUACAAAGUUAGGUUGACGUAAGUCCACUUGUGUCAACCUUGCUAUGCACAUGUCUAUGCUUAAAUUUGUCUUCUGCCCAUGUAAGUGGCCUGUUACAGUGAUGCAGUAACACUACCCCCGAAAGCAGUACAGAGCCAUGGUUGAUCUUCUCAGGAGUGUGAGUGUAAGUGGUGCCUUAGUUGUGUUGACCCUAACAAUCUUCCAGCACCUGUCCCUCAGUGACCCUGUCCCUGAGACGGUGACUCCUCUGGUCACAAUUUUGAACUCCACCGGGGCCCCAGAGUCCAGAAGUCCACCUACCCCUUUAAAAUUCUUGUGUCUUUUGAAAUGCCUUUUCUCAUUGCCCAUCUUAGUGAGCAUAUCUAGCAGCUCUCCUUUUGUUGUGUGGAUCCAGCUGCCCGACUGACCAUGCCAGCUCCCCCUACACAGAAAGCUACUAGAUGCGCUCCUGCCUGGAAUAGGCAAGAAGUAUUGGAUUUGCUUGGCUUGAGGGGAAAAGAGGCUCUGCAAGCACAGCUAUGGACCAGCCAUAGAACCAUCGUCAUCUAUGAGCAGAUUGUACAGGGGAUGAUGACAAAGGGGCACAACAGGGAUCAGCAGCAGUGCAACAUGAAAGCAAAAGAAGUCCGCUAGUAAUAUCACAAAGCGAGGGAAGGCAACAAGCAAUAUGGUGCUGCCCUGCAGAUCUGCUGCUUUUACAAUGAACUGCAUGCUAUACUUGGCAGUUAACCCACCAACAUUCACCAGUGAUGGUGGGUACCUGAGAGGAACCCAAGAUCGUGAGUGACCCCUGCCAUGAACAACAGUGGUGGUGAUGGUGGGUGGAGGGAAGUAAACAGGGGACUCAAACCAUGCUGCGAGCUAGGAACUAUUUGACAUUCUGCAGGAGUCUAGCCAGAUGAGCCUACUGACAAAAGGGAAGGGAACUCAGUAACUUUUUGUGUGCUGGCCUAAAGGGGUCACCCCUUCGCGUCCACUGAAUGUCUGAUGCUGAUCCUCAGGAAAAGGAAGAAAAGUAGGGAGGAUAUGUUCCACGAGAUCCUCCAAGCCACAGUUGCCUUUCACAGUGAUCAGAGGUGUUGGGGUGCCCUUCACAAGGCGAACGAGGAGAAAGUGAAUGGAGAAAGCUGUGGCUGCAGGACAGGCAAAAGGACCAAGAGGCGCAUCAGGAAAUGCACCAGGCAUAAAAGGAUUGCUCAGGAAACAAACAUAAGUGUUGCAGAGUAUGAUUGAUCUACAGUACCAAAGAUCUUCGCAGUCCUUGGAGAAUGACAUGGCUGCUGCUUCCUACAGCUCCCAAUAUUCCAUGUGGUGCUGUACUGCACGUUCUUACCCCUAUUACUCCAUGCCAACAAGGAGAACUACUGGUACACAUUACACUAACCUGUUGAAACCACAGGUCAAUGUGUAUGUAGCCACAAUGCACUGCACUGAACCAUUUACAUACAUGGACAUACAUGUUUACUGUUUACUUUCAUUUUCAUUUGGGAUUGUUGCAAAAGUAUUUAACAUGCUGUGUGUGUAUUUGCACUUUAAUUUUGUUAACAGCUGUUUUGCGCACAAUAAAGUUCUAUUUUUGUAAA